rnacentral:rRNA from 1 species
AAAGAAAUUGACGGGGACCCGCACAAGCGGUGGAGCAUGUGGUUUAAUUCGAGGCAACGCGAAGAACCUUACCAGGCCUUGACAUGUCCAGUUUGAUCGUCAGAGAUGACUUUCUUCACCUCGGGUGGCUGGAACACAGGUGCUGCAUGGCUGUCGUCAGCUCGUGUCGUGAGAUGUUGGGUUAAGUCCCGCAACGAGCGCAACCCUCGUCCUUAGUUGCCAUCAGGUAAUGCUGGGAACUCUAAGGAAACUGCCUGUGAUAAGCAGGAGGAAGGUGGGGACGACGUCAAGUCAUCAUGGCCCUUACGGCCUGGGCUACACACGUGCUACAAUGGUAGUGACAAUGGGCAGCAAACUCGCGAGAGUAGGCUAAUCCCCAAAAACUAUCUCAGUUCGGAUUGUACUCUGCAACU